rnacentral:rRNA from 1 species
GUUAUAGGGUCAAGCGAAUAAGUGCAUGUGGUGGAUGCCUUGGCGAUCACAGGCGAUGAAGGACGUAGUAGCUUGCGAAAAGCUGCGGGGAGCUGGCAAACGAGCUUUGAUCCGCAGAUGUCCGAAUGGGGAAACCCGGCCCGUAUGGGUCAUCCCUUGCUGAAUACAUAGGCAAGGGAGGCGAACGCAGUGAACUGAAACAUCUAAGUAGCUGCAGGAAAAGAAAUCAACCGAGAUUCCCAAAGUAGUGGCGAGCGAAAUGGGAACAGCCUUGUACUCUUUAGCAGUAUUGUUAGCGGAACGGAAUGGAAAGUCCGGCCAUAGUGGGUGAUAGCCCCGUACGCGAAAACAGUAUUGUGGAACUAGGUGUACGACAAGUAGGGCGGGACACGUGAAAUCCUGUCUGAAGAUGGGGGGACCAUCCUCCAAGGCUAAAUACUCGUGAUCGACCGAUAGUGAACCAGUACCGUGAGGGAAAGGCGAAAAGAACCCCGGGAGGGGAGUGAAAUAGAUCCUGAAACCGCAUGCAUACAAACAGUCGGAGCCUGGAAACGGGUGACGGCGUACCUUUUGUAUAAUGGGUCAGCGACUUACAUUCAGUGGCAAGCUUAACCGAUUAGGGAAGGCGUAGCGAAAGCGAGUCCGAAUAGGGCGUUCAGUCGCUGGGUGUAGACCCGAAACCAAGUGAUCUAUCCAUGGCCAGGUUGAAGGUGCGGUAACACGUACUGGAGGACCGAACCCACUAACGUUGAAAAGUUAGGGGAUGAGCUGUGGAUAGGGGUGAAAGGCUAAACAAACUUGGAAAUAGCUGGUUCUCUCCGAAAACUAUUUAGGUAGUGCCUCGUGUCUCACCUUCGGGGGUAGAGCACUGUCAUGGUUGGGGGGUCUAUUGCUGAUUACCCCGCCAUAGCAAACUCCGAAUACCGAAGAGUGCAAUCACGGGAGACAGACAUCGGGUGCUAACGUCCGGUGUCAAGAGGGAAACAACCCAGACCGCCAGCUAAGGUCCCUAAGAUUGGCUAAGUGGGAAACGAAGUGGGAAGGCUAAAACAGUCAGGAGGUUGGCUUAGAAGCAGCCACCCUUUAAAGAAAGCGUAAUAGCUCACUGAUCGAGUCGUCCUGCGCGGAAGAUGUAACGGGGCUAAGCCAGUCACCGAAGCUGCGGAUGCACGUAAGUGCAUGGUAGGAGAGCGUUCUGUAAGCCUGUGAAGGUGUCUUGUAAAGGAUGCUGGAGGUAUCAGAAGUGCGAAUGCUGACAUGAGUAGCGAUAAAGGGGGUGAAAGGCCCCCUCGCCGUAAGCCCAAGGUUUCCUACGCAACGUUCAUCGGCGUAGGGUGAGUCGGCCCCUAAGGCGAGGCAGAGAUGCGUAGCUGAUGGGAAGCAGGUUAAUAUUCCUGCACCGUCGUAUGAUGCGAUGGGGGGACGGAUCGCGGAAGGUUGUCCGGGUGUUGGAAGUCCCGGUCCCUACAUUGGAGAUGGCACUUAGGCAAAUCCGGGUGCGUGAUUCAAGGGUGUGGGGCGAGCGACGUUAGGUCGCGAAGCAAUUGGAAGUGGUUCCAAGAAAAGCCUCUAAGCUUCAGUCAUACGAGACCGUACCGCAAACCGACACAGGUGGGCGAGAUGAGUAUUCUAAGGCGCUUGAGAGAACUCGGGAGAAGGAACUCGGCAAAUUGGUACCGUAACUUCGGGAUAAGGUACGCCCUUGUAGUUUGACUGGCUCGCGCCAGAAGGAUGAAGGGGUUGCAAUAAAAUGGUGGCUGCGACUGUUUAAUAAAAACACAGCACUCUGCAAACACGAAAGUGGACGUAUAGGGUGUGACGCCUGCCCGGUGCCGGAAGAUUAAAUGAUGGGGUGCAAGCUCUUGAUUGAAGUCCCGGUAAACGGCGGCCGUAACUAUAACGGUCCUAAGGUAGCGAAAUUCCUUGUCGGGUAAGUUCCGACCUGCACGAAUGGCGUAACGAUGGCCACACUGUCUCCUCCCGAGACUCAGCGAAGUUGAAGUGUUUGUGAUGAUGCAAUCUCCCCGCGGCUAGACGGAAAGACCCCAUGAACCUUUACUGUAGCUUUGCAUUGGACUUUGAACCGAUCUGUGUAGGAUAGGUGGGAGGCUUUGAAACCGGGACGCUAGUUUCGGUGGAGCCGACCUUGAAAUACCACCCUGGUUUGUUUGAGGUUCUAACCUUGGCCCGUGAAUCCGGGUCGGGGACAGUGCAUGGUAGGCAGUUUGACUGGGGCGGUCUCCUCCCAAAGUGUAACGGAGGAGUUCGAAGGUACGCUUGGUACGGUCGGACAUCGUACCUAAAGUGCAAUGGCAAAAGCGUGCUUAACUGCGAGACCGACAAGUCGAGCAGGUGCGAAAGCAGGACAUAGUGAUCCGGUGGUUCUGUAUGGAAGGGCCAUCGCUCAACGGAUAAAAGGUACUCUGGGGAUAACAGGCUGAUACCGCCCAAGAGUUCAUAUCGACGGCGGUGUUUGGCACCUCGAUGUCGGCUCAUCUCAUCCUGGGGCUGUAGCCGGUCCCAAGGGUAUGGCUGUUCGCCAUUUAAAGAGGUACGUGAGCUGGGUUUAAAACGUCGUGAGACAGUUUGGUCCCUAUCUGCCGUGGGCGUUGGAAUCUUGACGGGGGCUGCUCCUAGUACGAGAGGACCGGAGUGGACGUACCGCUGGUGUACCUGUUGUCUCGCCAGAGGCAUCGCAGGNUAGCUAUGUACGGAAGAGAUAACCGCUGAAAGCAUCUAAGCGGGAAACUCGCCUGAAGAUGAGGAUUCCCUGGAGACUUGAUCUCCCUGAAGGGUCGUUCGAGACCAGGACGUUGAUAGGCUGGGUGUGGAAGCGCAGUAAUGUGUUCAGCUAACCAGUACUAAUUGCCCGUGCGGCUUGAUCCUAUAACC